GUGCAAUGGCAUAAGCCAGCUUGACUGCGAGCGUGACGGCGCGAGCAGGUGCGAAAGCAGGUCAUAGUGAUCCGGUGGUUCUGAAUGGAAGGGCCAUCGCUCAACGGAUAAAAGGUACUCCGGGGAUAACAGGCUGAUACCGCCCAAGAGUUCAUAUCGACGGCGGUGUUUGGCACCUCGAUGUCGGCUCAUCACAUCCUGGGGCUGAAGUAGGUCCCAAGGGUAUGGCUGUUCGCCAUUUAAAGUGGUACGCGAGCUGGGUUUAGAACGUCGUGAGACAGUUCGGUCCCUAUCUGCCGUGGGCGCUGGAGAAUUGAGGGGGGCUGCUCCUAGUACGAGAGGACCGGAGUGGACGCAUCACUGGUGUUCGGGUUGUCAUGCCAAUGGCACUGCCCGGUAGCUAAAUGCGGAAGAGAUAAGUGCUGAAAGCAUCUAAGCACGAAACUUGCCCCGAGAUGAGUUCUCCCUGACUCCUUGAGAGUCCUGAAGGAACGUUGAAGACGACGACGUUGAUAGGCCGGGUGUGUAAGCGCAGCGAUGCGUUGAGCUAACCGGUACUAAUGAACCGUGAGG
rnacentral:rRNA from 1 species